CCUACGGGAGGCAGCAGUGGGGAAUAUUGGACAAUGGGGGCAACCCUGAUCCAGCAAUGCCGCGUGAGUGAUGAAGGCUUUCGGGUCGUAAAGCUCUGUUGUCAGGGAAGAACAAGUAUCGGAGUAACUGCCGGUACCUUGACGGUACCUGACCAGAAAGCCACGGCUAACUACGUGCCAGCAGCCGCGGUAAUACGUAGGUGGCAAGCGUUGUCCGGAAUUAUUGGGCGUAAAGCGCGCGCAGGCGGUUCCUUAAGUCUGAUGUGAAAGCCCCCGGCUCAACCGGGGAGGGUCAUUGGAAACUGGGGAACUUGAGUGCAGAAGAGGAGAGCGGAAUUCCACGUGUAGCGGUGAAAUGCGUAGAGAUGUGGAGGAACACCAGUGGCGAAGGCGGCUCUCUGGUCUGUAACUGACGCUGAGGCGCGAAAGCGUGGGGAGCGAACAGGAUUAGAUACCCUGGUAGUCCACGCCGUAAACGAUGAGUGCUAAGUGUUAGAGGGUUUCCGCCCUUUAGUGCUGCAGCAAACGCAUUAAGCACUCCGCCUGGGGAGUACGGCCGCAAGGCUGAAACUCAAAGGAAUUGACGG
rnacentral:rRNA from 1 species